rnacentral:rRNA from 1 species
GGGAGAGUAAUGCAUGGGAACGUACCUUUUGGGGGGGGAUAACCACGGGAAACUGUGGCUAAUACCGCAUAAUCUGGAAACAGUAAAGAUGGCCUCUACUUGUAAGCUAUCACCAAUUGAUCGGCCCAUGUCCCAUUAGCUAGUUGGCGGGGUAAAGGCCCACCAAGGCUACGAUGGGUAGCUGGUCUGAGAGGAUGAUCAGCCUCACUGGGACUGAGACACGGCCCAGACUCC